AGUGAACGCUGGCGGUAGACCUAACACAUGCAAGUCGAACGGCAGCACAGUAAGAGCUUGCUCUUACGGGUGGCGAGUGGCGGACGGGUGAGGAAUACAUCGGAAUCUACUUUUUCGUGGGGGAUAACGUAGGGAAACUUACGCUAAUACCGCAUACGACCUACGGGUGAAAGCAGGGGAUCUUCGGACCUUGCGCGAUUGAAUGAGCCGAUGUCGGAUUAGCUAGUUGGCGGGGUAAAGGCCCACCAAGGCGACGAUCCGUAGCUGGUCUGAGAGGAUGAUCAGCCACACUGGAACUGAGACACGGUCCAGACUCCUACGGGAGGCAGCAGUGGGGAAUAUUGGACAAUGGGCGCAAGCCUGAUCCAGCCAUACCGCGUGGGUGAAGAAGGCCUUCGGGUUGUAAAGCCCUUUUGUUGGGAAAGAGAAGCAGCAGGUUAAUACCCCGCUGUUCUGACGGUACCCAAAGAAUAAGCACCGGCUAACUUCGUG
rnacentral:rRNA from 1 species